UACGGAGGGGGCUAGCGUUGUUCGGAAUUACUGGGCGUAAAGGGCUCGUAGGCGGCCAACUAAGUCAGACGUGAAAUCCCUCGGCUUAACCGGGGAAUUGCGUCUGAUACUGGAUGGCUUGAAUCCGGGAGAGGGAUGCGGAAUUCCAGGUGUAGCGGUGAAAUGCGUAGAUAUCUGGAGGAACACCGGUGGCGAAGGCGGCAUCCUGGACCGGCAUUGACGCUGAGGAGCGAAAGCCAGGGGAGCAAACGGG
rnacentral:rRNA from 1 species